rnacentral:misc_RNA from 1 species
CUUACCUUCACUAAAACCCUAAACCCCCUUGCAACUGGCACCGCUAAAUGCUCAUCGCCUGAUCUGCUAUCUUUCCCGAUUCCAUUUUCAGUGCCCAAAAUUAGACCCUCUUCACAGUUCUAAAGAAUCUAAACCCACAUUCUCUUUGAAGACCAAAACCCAUUAUCUCUCUCUUUCCACCAACGACAUCAGAAAGCUAAAUCCAUGUCUAGAAGCCAGGUUCUUUGAACAGGAAGGAAUGUCGUUACUGAAUGAAUGGAUUGAG